UGGUGAUGGACAAUGACUGUAAUGGGGUAUGUGGUGGGAACUUGAUAAUAGGGGGAGUCUAGUAACCAUAAUGUUGCGCAAGUAAUUGUACAUUAAUGAUAUCAACAACAAAAAAGCUAAUUCUGUUGACUGUGUGGAGAAUGAACUAGGAGUGGUGGUAGAUAAUAGUUUUAAUUUUCAUUUCAGUCUUUCCCUGCUUUGUGAAACAUCUGACCCAAGUAUGCAGCAAAAUGGAUUGAUCCUUUUUCCUCUCCUUUUUAUCUUAAGAAGUCACUAAAAAAUUGGCAUCAAGAAAAAAAAAGGAAAAGUUCUAGUGUGCCUUGAUUUUUAGAAUAUCUCCUGCCCCAAGUUGGUGGACAUGAGACUACUUGUUGAGCUCUGGGCCAAGGGCAAGAAUGUGCCAAAUCUAGAGACACAGAGCAGUCAACACAGCCUGCAGAAGUAUUUCAUCCUGUAGCAUAAGGCCUAAAACUGGUGUCUAAUAUUACAUGCUGGCUGGAUAUCUGAUGAAAUCCCAAGAACCUAGAAUGACUCAAUUGCAAGUUUCUCUCCCCAGUAUGCUACUGUGGAAAAGGUCAGCUAGUCAAACAACUUUCCUUAUCAAACAGAACAGAUGCAGUUCCUGCCAACCUCCGAGUAGUGGGUUUCAGUUCCCCGCCAGCCCAUGGAAUUACCCAAAAGUCAAUUACAUUCUCCUGUGGGAACCAGAGAGCACCUCACCCUCUUGAUCCUACAAAGCAAGCCUGCCUCCCACUGCCUUUGGCUGUCCACUCUGUUUCCAAAUACAACCCCCACGUGUCCCUGCAAGGCAUGUGGUAUCCUCCCAAGCUGUAAGUAUAUGUGACUAAUAAAUUGCUGCCAAUAUCUGUCCAGUGUUGGGUGUCAUGUUGUGGAUAAAAUGAGAGUUCCUGUGGCCAGGAUUCUCACCUGGCUGUGGUUGACUAGCUCACUGCACACCUGUGGGCAAUACAUGGCUGUUGACUCUAUAAAAAGAGCUCUACCCAUGCUCUGGGCAGGACAUGGUGGCAGGGCUGUAAGGCUGCAGGAGAGCAGAGCAGAGGCUGGAGUGGUGGCAGCACCGAGGACAGAGGCCCAGAGGACGGCUGUGCAGGACGACUGUGCAGAGAGGCCAGCGGGAUGGCUGUGCAGACAGAGGGGCCCAGAGGACGGCUGUGCAGACAGAGGGGUCCAGAGGCAGAGACUGGCUUGCUGCAUACAGACUCGCUCUUAGUGAACAGGAUUUUAGUGACUGACCUGGAAAUAAAGUUGGGUAUAACUCUUUCACCCCAAGAACAUUUUGCUGUCAUUUUCUUUGGUCACACUGAAUCCAUAGCAAACUUGCCUGGGGCUGAAACCCAUUGGCAAAGACCCAUGUGUUUGGCCAUCUCCAUAACCAUAGGGUGGGAAUCCCUCCCUCACCAACAGGGGAGAGAAGAAGUAAUUAAAGCACCCCUAAUUCCAGGCCAGCCAAUCACCCUUAAAAAUUGGAGGCUUUGCUUGGUUUCUGCAGAGUCAUUGUCUGCACAAAGCCCUGCCUCCUACAGCCAUGGAACUGGGACCACCAUCCCCAUUUAUUCAAAUCAGCUACAUGCAUGCACUGGGUGUGGUCUCGCUUUUGGCUUCUUGGAUAUUUCUCAACCUAUAUUCUAAUCCUGAGCAGUCAUCAUUCUCGGAACUUCUUCGUGUCCCCUGACUCACCUCCUUCUGCUCUCUUCAAGAGAUCUAGACACCACUAUCUUUUUCUGCUUUUACUAUGAUCUCUGUUUCCUCUUUUCCAGUCCCAGAAGGAUCAUGAAUCAUGUUUCAAAAGUAAAUGAUGAUCUAUGGAGAGGAUAUUGCAUUUCCAAUAUCCUUAGGUUCUUUUAAUUAUCAAGGUCCCAUAAGCCUGAAUCUUCAGGAAUCGGGAGAUGGCCAACUUUAACCAAAUAACUGCCAUAUUUGACAGGCUUGGGGAAGAGCCUAUGCAACCCUGUUGAGUCCAGGGAGUUGAGUCAUAUUGUACUUCCCCAAGAAAACAAUAAGAUCCUCAAAGGCAAAGGGCCCACCUUGGAUUUGCGUCUCUUAGAUGCCUAUUCUAGCACACUGGUGCAGUGGGGAAGAGACCCUGGAAAUCGACCACCUGGGCUCAAAUCCUAGUUCACCCACUAAUCAGAUGAGUGGCUUCAGGCAGCUUCUCCAAUCCUUGGAAACCUCAGUUGUAUCUUUGUGUCCAAGGGCUGUUUUAAGUCUUAAAUGUUAAAAGUGUAAAUGUAUAUAAAGCUCUUAGUCCCUGCCUGCUACAGAGUAAUCACUGAAUAAAUGUUAGCUAUUAAUAUAAUUUAAAGUGCUAAACAUAUGUCUAACUAUGUUAGGUGUUAUUGUUAUUUGGAGGGUGCCCAGGCAUCAUUCCUAAACUCCAAGCCCAUAAUUUAACCCCUCUGGAUAUUCUGCCUAAAUAGUUCAGAGGAAAAGCAAACUGGAACAAAGGAGAAAUCACUCUCUCUGCUCACUCCACCCCACCCACAGGUGCUCCUCCAGAACUCCCAACCACCUGCCAUCAGCUCAGUUUCCCAAGCCAGAAAUCCAAGGGCCAGUUCCCAGAUCCCCUGUCUCUCUUCUCCUUCCUCAUUCCAUCCAAUCUCAUUAACUCCUCCAGCAACCAUUUAUUGGGCAUGCUUGCACUAGGCAGGUGCCAGGCACAAACAAGUGAAUGAGACAGGUUCCUCUGGAGGUUAGGUGUAGUGUGGGAGAUAGGCAGGCAACAUGUAAAGAAAUGAGAUGAAAAUAGCUUGGGAUAAAGAAUAUAAAAGAAAAAAACAGCAUGCCAUGAUAGAGACAAUGGACUUAGUUCUGAUAGGGGUCAGGGAUGGCUCUUCAAGGAAGAGACAUUCAAACUAUAUCUGAAUGUCAAGAAGAAGUUGGCUGUGAUGAGUUGGAGGAAGGCAUUCCAGACAGAGGGACAGCAAGCACAAGGCACUGAAGCAGGAAAGAAAUGAGUGUGUUCCAAGAAGUGUCAGAUGGCCAGUGUGACUGAGACAUUUAUGACAUGGUCCCUACAUUUUAACUCUAUCUAGAAAGGGACACAGGCUUGUUUUCUUACUGCUUUGCAAACUUUGUGGUGCCAUUUCAGUGAAACGAUAGCUCAAAGAAAGGCAAAAUCCAUACAGGCAAGAAAAAUAAGGGGAAAUUUAUGAAGCUCAUGGGUUGUGAGCUGACCCUCACUAGAUGAAGAGACUAGAACAUCUGUUGGGAUAAGAAGAGGCAUCCCAACAGGACCAGCAGCAUGAGCAAGGUCCAGAAAGAAGUUAGUAUGAUAUAUGCUAAGAUUAUAACGAGACUUGGAUCACUCCUCCGAUUGGAAAGAACAUUAAACAAAGACUGAUUUGGGGAAACCUUUAAAAAAAAAAGGUUGAGGUGUUUGAACCAAUUGCAAAGUCAAAAUGGAGCCAUUGUUGGGCUGACAGGGAACAUGAGGAAGGCAGUGACUUAAGAACAUCCUUCAGACAGUCAUGAGCACGUUGGUGGAGGGGGAAACUCUGGGAAAGGAGAUUACUUAGACGUCAGCUGGGUUCAUACAGGAGUGACUCAGUAAGCAAUCUGGACUACUAACUUAGUGGUGGUAAUAAAAAAGGAAGAAUCUGAGAACUUUAAAAAAUUCUUUUAAGUCCAACAAUAAAGGAUUAUUUAAAUAAGGUAUGACACACUCAUAUAACAGAGUAGUAUGCAGCUAUUUAAAAUGAUGCCAUAGGAUAGCAAAUGACACUGAAAGACGUUCAAAGCAGAACACAACCUGGAUAACAUUUCUUUCUUAAGGUGAAUGUGAGCCUUUAAUUAGAGCUCAUAUUUUCUUUCUGCAAAUAUAUUAUUUAUUAAAAACCUUUAACCCUGAAUGCAAAUUUAAUGAGACAAAGAAGAACCACCUCAUUCCUCAUUAGAAUAUGCAUGGAUAAUAACAAAUACAAUCAUUCAGAGAUAUCAGAGAAGGUCAAUGGCAUUUCUUGAAAUCCAGAAAUCAAGUUUAAAAACCAUCUUUAGGGUUUUCCUCGAUAAUGGUUUGUUUUGAGUAAGUCAGUUGAGUUGGCAUAUGGCUGGCUCUAUACUUUGCUAUGAGCUAAAUUCUGCCCCUCUCCUCCCAGAUGCAGAGCUUAAAGUCCUAACCUCUGUUUUCUCAGAAUAUGACUGUAUUUGAGGAUGUAGUUUGUAAUAAGGUAAUUAAGGUAAAAUGAGAUUAUACAAAUAGGCCUUAAUCCAAUCUGACUAGCGUCAUAAAAAGAGAUUAGGACACAGGUGCAGAGGGGCUAUCAUGUGACCAUACAGGGAAAAAUGGCUAUCUGUAAGAAAAGGAGAGAAGCCUUAGAAGAAACCAACCCUGCUGACACACUGGUCUUGGACUUCCAGCCUCCAGAAUUGUUAGAAAACAAAAUUCUGUUAUUUAAACCACCCUAUGUGCAAUGCUUUGCUAUGACAACCCUACUGAUACACCUCUCUUCUUUCUUUUUAAUUGCGAUAAGUAAUUUUAAAUACAAAAUCUAAAGCAUGGGCCUGAAAGUUCCUCAAAUACUUAAUUGUACAAUUUCCAUAUGAUUCAGCUAUUCUACUCCUAGGCAAAAACCCAAAACAAUUGAAAGCAAGGAUGCAGAUUAGAUACUUGUACACAAAUGUUCACACUGACAACAGCCAAAAAAUGAAAAUAACCCAAGUGUCCAUCAACAGAUGAAUGAAUAAACAAAAUGUGACAAAUCAACACAAUGGAAUAUUACUCAGCCAUAAAAAGGAAUGAAGUUCUGACACAUGCUAUAGCAUGGAUGAACCUUUCAAACAUGAUCCUAAGUGAAAUAAGCCAGACACAAAAGGCCAUAUACUCUCUAACUCCUUUUAUAUGAAAUAUCCAGAAUAUGCAAAUUCAUAGAGACACAAAGUAAAAUAAAGGUUAUCAGAGGCUGGGGAAGAGAGGAAUGGGAAGUUAGUGUUUAACAGGUACAGAGCUUCUGUUUUGGAUGAUGGAAAAAUUCAGGAGAUGGAUGGUAAUGGUUGCACAAUGUUGUAAAUUUACUUAUGUUGCUGAACUGUACACUUCAAAAGUUAAAGUCUUAAAUUUCUUAUGUAUAUUUACCAUAGUUUUUUAAAUUGCCAAAACAAAAAAAUGAUUGCUUAGAUAACUGGGAUUUUUUUUAUCUUGUGGAAAUUUCUUUAUAUUACUAAAAAAUUUGUACUUUUUUUUGCAGCAUCUAGACAUUCUUUUAGCCCAAGUCUCAUUCGGAGGCUUGGUCAGUUUGCUGUUCAUAUUUUCUCAUGUCCUCCAAAGGCAUAUAAGUGUGUCUUGUAAAAAAAUUCCAAUGGAGAUCCCCAGUGUGGCCAGCAAGCCAGGAGAACAGUAUCCAUGAGGAUUUGCAAAGAAAAAGGGAUAAUCCAGUGGUUGGUGGAUAUAAAUCUUACCUUUGGCUUUCUUAAGAUGGAAUUCCAAACACUGACCUCACCUGAGGCACUGACUUUUCAUCCACCUUCAGGAAUGAAAUUUCUACUUUUCUGAUGGGAACGAAUCUACCUUCAACUUCACAUAAAGUACUAAAGGACCAGGUUCACCAAGGCACUUGCUGAUCCCUGUGUUGAGCCAGGCCCCUAUGCAGGUAGCCAUCGAAUGUGCACGGUGCCCAUUCAGUUUGAGGACUGCCUGGUGCAGCACCUGGAAACAGCUUCUGCUUGCUCAGGGUACAUCCACAUUUUCCCCUGUGUCACUGGGAGAACAAAGCAGCUCAGCCUCCAAGGAGACUGAGAUGGGAAAACCUUCAAGCAGCCAGGCAGUGCCAAUGGGUAAUUAUUGUGAGUGUCUUUGCCAUGUGGAGGUUUCUGAAUGUGUUGCAGAGGCGUCAUCAAAAAAGGGCUGGGACAGGUCGUUCCUGGAGAUGAAGGUGGCACCCAGGAGAACAGAGGGCAGGCUGAAGCUGCUGCCUCACAGAAGCAGAUCCAAAUGUCAAAGAGAAGCAGAGGGGUAAAAUUAGAGAGAGCAGAACAUUUUAGGAAAGGAAGGAGUCUGUGCGGGAAACUCACUCUAAAUAAACCCAAUCUGUAAAAAUAUAGAUUUACAAAAUAAGUAAAUGGGAUGGGUGAGAGGCAUUUUUGAAAAAGAGUCCUUUCAAUGACAUUUGGAUGAAAUUACAUAAAAAUCAAGUCCUCCUUUUUAAGAGCUUAUCUAUCCAAGAGAUAGGGGGACGUCCAGAGCCUGGGCUUGAAUUGACUGUUGUGAGACCUCUCUAGACCUCAUCCUGGUUUUAUUUUAUUUCUUUUUCUUUUUUAUUGAUAUACAGUCUUAUUUUAGUUUCAAGUAUACAACACAGUAGUUCAACAGUUACCCAUAUUAUGAAUCUUCACUCUCACCAGUACAGCUACUAUCUGUCAACACAGAAAGAUGUUACAGAAUCAGAGACUGUAUUCUCCAUGCAACUGCAAAUGGAAUUAUUUUCCUGAUUUUUCUGCUAGUUCAUCACUAGUAUAUAGGAAUGCAACCGAUUUCUGUGUAUUAAUUUUGUAGCCUGCAACUUUGCUGAAUUCAGUUAUUAGUUCUAGUAGUUUUGGAGUGGAUUCCUUAGGGUUUUCUAUGUACAAUAUCAUGUCAUCUGCAAACAGGGACAGUUUGACUUCUUCCUUAUCGAUCUGGAUGCCUUUUAUUUCUUUGUGUUGUCUGAUUUCUUUGGCUAGGACCUCCAGAACUAUGUUGAAUAAAAGUGGGGAGAGUGGGCAUCCUUGUCUUGUUCCCAAUCUUAGAGGAAAAGCUUUCAGCUUCUCGGUGUUACAUAUAAUGUUGGCUGUGGUUUUGUGAUAUAUGGCCUUUAUUAUGUUGAGGCACUUGCCCGCUAUACCCAUUUUAUUGAGAUUUUUUAUCAUUAAUGGAUGUUGAAUUUUGUUGAAUGCUUCUUCAGCAUCUAUGGAAGUGAUCAUGUGAUUUUUGUCCUUUUUGUUGAUGUAAUGGAUAAUGUUGAUGGAUUUUGAAUAUUCCUCCCUAUUUCUAUUAAUAUACAGAGAGAAUUUAACACCCAACUGAAAAUGCAUCUUCUUUUAGGGUGCACUUGGAACAUAUACAAAAAGACAUACAAUAGAGCAUGUAUUUCCUUUAAUACAUUCCCAAUAAUCAAUAUGUUACAGAUUAGGUUCUCCAACUGCAUUUCAAUGAAACUAGAAAUUAAUAUUAAAAAUAUAAAUUUUAAAAAUAUUUAGAAACCAAAUAAAGUAUUGCUAAAUGACUCUUGACAGUGUCUAAAACUGGAUAAUGAAAACACCACAUAAAACUGGUGUGGGUCACAGUGAAAGCACCACUUUAAAAGGAAAUUUAUAGCUUUAUACGCAUUUGACAGGAAACA